GCCAGAGAUGUCUUGUGGGGCUCCCAAGUACUCUAACCUCAAGGUGCAUGCCCUCCACUCACUAAUUGGCUCCUCUGGCUGUGAUCGAGCUCCAAAAGGAGGGCAUGUGGCAAAGCAUGGCAGGGAAUUCUUUCAAAAGUGGAAUCCAGGAAGAAAAUUCCUUGGGAAACUUUGGACUGGAUUCUCAACAAACCCUUCAGAGAGACUUAAAGCCGGUAAAAGACCUUUUGCAAAAGUGAUCCGGGGGGCCUCCACUUUGUUUCUCUGGAUAUUUCUCUGUUGAAAUAUAGGUGUCAAGCACGUCCCAUUUUAGAUGCUCUUCAGACUUCAAAACAUUACCUUCCUGCUUUCAGGGAGCCAUUUCAUCAGCUUUUGUACUGUGUAUUCACUGCAGACCCUGCUGUUAUGCAAGGUACCACCAUGGCUAAAAAUUCACAAGACGAUUCUUAGUUGCACUGAUUUUUUUUUUAUUUGAUCUUUCACAAUGUUGCUGCUUCCGUUUCAAAAACGUCUCAAAGCUUUGAUUUGAUUGCAGCUGGAUUCAAGGAUACCCAAAGCCAAGUUUGAUCCUGAAUUCCCCAAAUCAAAAGUAUUUCAUUUCAGAUGUAUGUUCUAUACCUGGCCAUAAUAAUGAACAGCAACCAUUACUGGAGCAUGCUUUUGAUUUUUUUUUCAUUAACAGUCAUUUUUAUGAUUUGGAAACAUAAUUAGAAGAUUCCUAUUCCAGACUACAAAUCAAUGGAUUUGAUUCUACUACACAUUUGCCAAUAAAGAGCAAUGGUAUCAAAUGAA
rnacentral:lncRNA from 1 species